rnacentral:rRNA from 1 species
UACGGAGGGUGCAAGCGUUAUCCGGAUUCACUGGGUUUAAAGGGUGCGUAGGUGGGCAGGUAAGUCAGUGGUGAAAUCUCCGGGCUUAACCCGGAAACUGCCAUUGAUACUAUCAGUCUUGAAUACCGUGGAGGUAAGCGGAAUAUGUCAUGUAGCGGUGAAAUGCUUAGGUAUGACAUAGAACACCAAUUGCGAAGGCAGCUUACUACCCGAAUAUUGACACUGAGGCACGAAAGCGUGGGGAGCAAACAGG